UCCUUAUCAAGAGAGGUGGAGGGACUGGCCCGAUGAUACCCGGCAACCGCUGUUUAACAGAAUGGUGCUAAAUCCUGAAGAUAAGGU
rfam:Bacillus atrophaeus 1942, complete genome.